rnacentral:rRNA from 1 species
UACGGGGGGUGCGAGCGUUGUCCGGAAUCACUGGGCGUAAAGGGCGCGUAGGUGGUUUGAUAAGGGUGUGGUGAAAGCCCGGGGCUCAACCCCGGGUCUGCCGUGCCGACUGUCAAACUCGAGGGCUGUAGAGGCAGACGGAAUUCCGGGUGUAGCGGUGGAAUGCGUAGAGAUCCGGAGGAAGACCGGUGGCGAAGGCGGUCUGCUGGGCCGAUACUGACGCUGAGGAGCGAAAGCGUGGGGAGCGAACAGG